CACUUUCUCUUUUCUUCCUGGUGCUCGAAGGGUCGGGGGUUUUUACGGGGUCAGAAGAGUGGUGGGCCGGCGGAGGGUACUGGUCUUUGGGGGCCGGUGGUGCUCGGAUGGUGGGGCCGGCGGCGACCGGAGGUAGGGGCCGGCGACGACCGGAGGUAGGGGCUGGCGGCGCUCCGAGGGUGGGGGCCGGCGAUGCUCCGAGGGUGGGGGCCAGUAGAGACCGGAGGUAGGGGUUGGCGGCGCUCCGAGGGUGGAGGCGGGUGGCGAUCGGAGGUAGGGGCCGGCGGCGCUCCGAGGGUGGGGGCCGGUGGCGCUCGGAGUUAGGGGCCGGCGGCGCUCGCGGUGGCGGGACGCACGGGCGUAUACAGGGUAAGGGCCGCUGUUCCAGCGGCGGAUACCUAGAGAGGACAUCGGAGGCAAACACGAUCACCUCCCUCUUUAGUCUCUACCUCAACCGCUUAAAGAACACGGAAAAGACAAGUUACCUAUCUACCUACCUACCCACAUCAAGAGACUUACAUUGGACACUAGGUCACGACGAGUUGAAGGAGACUUGGGGAUUAGAACAAGACGAGGGUCAGUAAUAGUCAAGCUGUUUUCCAACAUCUUUUCCAGUCUCAACUCUGAUCAACAGUAAUUCCAAUCGGGGAAACAAAGUCUAAGUCAUAGAGGUAAUGGUCAUAUUUUUUUUCCCGGUCGCCGGGUUAGGAUCACGGCGAGUACUAGAGGGAGAGGUUCGUGGCGUGGGUAAUUCGUGGGUGUGUACCCGUUUAGGACCGCGGCGAGCACUAGAGACGGAGGCAGUCAAGGUGAAGCGGCCUCGUUAGUCAGAUCUCCUCCUCCACAUCGGCCAGGAGGACUAGAGGCUGCAGAAUAAGGUUGAGGUUUUUUUAAGAAAAACUCAAGAUAAGAAUCAGUGUCAUGUGUACGUCGAAGAUUUGAAGAACAGGUCAGUAAGAUCAUGACUACUUCUAGCUCAACUAACUUUAAUACAUCAGCUAAUGACUCUGGGAAUGAUCAGGAAGGUAUAUAUCUUGAAUACGGACUAUCCCUGUACUGAAUAGAGAAACAACGGACGAACAAAAACAUUUUAAGAAACUUGAAUGAAUCCACUAUAUAAACCUGGAAACGGAGUAAUCAUGUUGUAGUGUGAGGUAUCGGCCCGUGCUCUUUUCGACGCACGUCCGGUGGGAUACGAGGCAGGAGAUAGGCGGAGUCAGUAGAGGGAGAGUAAGAGAGAGACGAGGCACACACACACGUCCCUCACCCUCCUCUAUCUCGUCCCCGCACCCUCCGGGAAGGUGCCACUUACGUAUACGUAGAAGGUACCUCUAAGAAGUCAUGUCUCUUCGAAGUCAUACUCUUUUUUACCCAGUAAUCAAGUAGGUAUACGUUGGAGGGCGCACCAGUAGGUAAAAAUAAACCUCGGAUGAGUGAUGUUUCGUGUUUUCUCCAACCACGAGUGGAAGAAACUCUGGCGGCGGGUGAGGGUGUAAAUGUCCGAGAUGCUGUUCUGGAUGACGGAGCCGUGGCGGUGGCUAACACCUCAAACUUCAUCGCCUCUGCUGUUGGUAUACAUCUAGCCGCUCACGCCCUAGUUGGAGUCGUCGUCGGUCUUCGUCGCGUAAGUCGAGCGGGCGCAGCAGAUGGUCCUGACGCUGUAGAUUGAGGAACUGCUGCAGAAGUCGUGGUAGCUACGCGUGUGGCCGUCACUCUAGAAGUUCGGCCGGCACAACACAUAAGACCAAUCAACCACACACAUAAUACAACGGGAGUUCGACAUACUCUCCGGCGGGUGUCUCGGCUCCUUCAGCGGCUAGACCAACUCCAACGCCGUUUUUGUACUACGUGUUCAAGUAAAAAACAUACGAAAAAUCAUGUAGAUGAAGGACUUCCAGACUUAUACAACGGGGGUGGUACGGCUAAAUGACGACGCUGGAGCAACUAAGGGGCGGAAGCUUGACGAGGGAGUUAGGGGAGGUACCUGGUGGCGGCUAUCACCCGACGUGGAAGGUGCCCUUCGGUACACUGGCACAUCUACGUGUAGAAGUAACUCAGCGAGUGACGCGUAUACACACACAACACAAGCACGCACGCACCGGCGCUGGUACGAAGUGUAAAGCCACAACAGAUACACACCAGCACGCCCGCAGAGUGGAGUUUGUGUAGGGUCCGGCCACGUGCUCAACGACUCCUUUGCGGGUUCCAACACCGGUGAGCUGGUGUUGAAGCAGAGGACCUUCCACAGCCUACACCUGUCGGUCUUGCUCAAGUUCAGAUACACCAAGUAGCUCCUCUUUUUCUUCUCCUUGAGUUGAACAAAGAGACACCUGUUCCGGUCUUCUUUAACACGAGACUUGUACGAACAACU
rnacentral:rRNA from 1 species